rnacentral:lncRNA from 7 species
AUACAGUGCACUAUGGAAGGCAAAAAUGGGAAGCACAAACUUCUUUGUAGGAAAUGAGGAGAGACGGGGAAAUACUGAUGUGUUUUUGUGGUUGGGAGAACCGCAAUGCCUGGCUCUAUCUCCCUUUUCCAAAUGAGCCCGUAGGUAUGCUUCUCUCUGUCCCUCUGCACGCUUAGGGUGCCCCAAAAGCAUGGAACCUCAAAGUACUAUCAGACUGCGUGUGUUUGCACAUAUGAAGACUGCAAGUCAAGCAGGGAUAGGAAGUGGGGGGAACUCUGAAAAUACUCUCUAAUAGGCGUCUCUCAUUUCAUCUGACACCUCUCUUCAAACAGAAGCCUGUAGGUUAUUGACAAAGACAUCCUGUUAUUGGGAUCCUGAGAUUUGUCUUCAUUUUUGGGUACUUCAAAGAUUUCUGUCUGCAGUGCUGCUUUAUUUGGAUUUCUGUCUCUGUGAAAGCAGCAUGUUCAGUGCCUGUCAUCUGAAUUGACUUUGUACAGUGGGAUGAGUUAAAGUGGAAACACCAAUUUCAGAAAAACAAAGUUGUGCUUUUGCUCAGAAAGGUGGAAAUUACAUGAGAAACAUCAAAGACAAAAGAAGUAAAGUAGCAGUGAAAUUAAGUUUUUUUCUCAGCUGAAGCUGCUCAAGUGGAUCCUGCCUUUGUUACUACAAAUGGCCAUAUUGUAGACAGUAGGAACAACAAUUUAUUUUGUCCAGUGUAAAUAAAUAUGUGGUGAUUC